rnacentral:lncRNA from 1 species
UGAGAUUCUUCACAUUUUGUUUAGUGUUAUUAUUAUUUUAUGCUUUCACAUGGUCUUUUUCCUAGCUAGAAAUUCCAAGCUAACUAGCCACACCAAAUCGAUUUGGGUCUUUUUGUUUGAGAAAGUCAAAGUUUCUCACACCCUUUGUGCUUUAAUAUUGUAUAGUUUAACUAGCCUUUUCAAUACACAGAAGUCUCUACUCCAAUUUAAGAAAGAGUUGAGGCAAAAAGUCAAGACCCCUAUGCUUUACAUGCCUACUUCCCCAGUAGUGUCUAUGCUUUCGUCUUUCUUGCUCUUUGACCACCUUCUUUCCUUCUUGCCUAUAUGGUAGCAAUACCACCAAUUCCACUGGAGAUCUAUAGCUAUUGUUUAGUUGCAUUGCUAUUCUUAUUGCUUUAUGGUUGAAACUUUUUCUUUUGGUUCACAAGUUUACUUUCUUCAGACAACCUUUUUUUUAUGGUAUAAGAAAUCUUUUCCUUUUACUCAAAUGAGUGAUUCCUUUGCUCUCUUCUCUUUCUGGUUACCUUACCAUCAAACCUAGCGUACAAAUGUCACUAGCUAGCUUCCAGUUUUUGUCCAUGUACAUAUAUCUGAAAUUAAUUAAGAAAGAGAGGGUUCAGGUUUCUCCCCCGGGAAACUAGAUGUACAAGAAGAAUCCAUGCAAAAGAUAGAUAGAUAGAUAGAUAGAUCUGUAGAGAUGAUGAUGAGAUGAUGAUGGAGAGAGAGAGAGAGAGAGAGAGAGAGAGAGAGAGAGAGAGAGAGAGAGAGAGACGAACGAACGUAACNNNNNNNNNNNNNNNNNNNNNNNNNNNNNNNNNNNNNNNNNNNNNNNNNNNAGAGAGAGAGAGAGAGAGAGAGAGAGAGAGAGAAUGAGAGCCAAAGCGUUACCAAAAAAAGUCAGCGAGGUGAUUUUAAUGCAUCUGUCUCUUUGUUUGUCUUUGCUCUGUCUGUUUUCUGUCCAGCUCCGGAGAAGAGACAGAGAGUCCCAUCUGCCUACAACCGCUUCAUCAAGUAAGUGAUUUUAGCCCCUCCCCUCUUACUUCCAACUUACAUUAAAAGUAAGAUGAUAACUCUUUACUACUUCAUGGCUUUCAGACUUAGAAAUUAAGAUAUUCCAUUUUAAUCCUCUUUGGACAAAAGGUUUUGAAUGAAACCAUGAAGCACAUGCAUGAUCUUGACGUCUAC